AUGGGCUGGGGUGGAUUGGUUGGAGGUUCUCCAGAAAUUCCAUUUCCACUUCUCCAGAAGUUCCAUGGGCUGGGGGUUCCUGGUCACAGGUUCUCCAUAAAUUCAUUUUCUAUGGGUUCUUGGUCAGGGGUUCUCCAGAAGGUCCAUGGGCUGGGGUGGCUUGGUCAGAGGUUCUCCAGAAAUUCCAUUUCCAUGGAUUCUUGGUCGGAGGGUCUCCAGAAAUUCCAUGGGCUGGUGGGGUUGGUCACAGCUUCUCCAGAAGUUCCAUUUCCAUGGAUUUUUUGGUGGUGGUUUCUCCAUAAAUUUCAUUUUCUAUGGGUUCUUGGUCACAGGUUCUCCAUAAAUUCAUUUUCUGGGGGUUCUUGGUCAGAGGUUCUCCAGGAAUUCCAUGGGCUGGGGGGUUCUUGGUCACAACUUCUCCAGAAGUUCCACGGGCUGGGGGCUUGGGUGGAGGGUCUCCAGAAAUUCCAUUUUCCAUGGACUGGGCUUGGUCAGAGGUUCUCCAGAAAUUCCAUUUCCAUGGAUUUUUGGUCACAGCUUCUCCAGGAAUUCCAUGGGCUGGGGGGUUCUUGGUCAGAGCUUCUCCAGAAGGUCCAUGGGCUGGGGUGGAUUGGUUGGAGGUUCUCCAGAAGUUCCAUUUCCAUGGAUUUUUGGUCACAGGUUCUCCAGAAGCUCCAUGGGCUGGGGGUUUGGUCAGAAGUUCUCCAGAAAUUCCAUGGGCUGGGGGGCUUGGGUGGAGGGUCUCCAGAAAGUCCAUGGGCUGGUGGGGUUGGUCAGAGGGUCUCCAGAAAGUCCAUGGGCUGGUGGGGUUGGUCAGGGGUUCUCCAGAAAGUCCAUUUCCUGGGGUGGAUUGGUUGGAGGUUCUCCAGAAGUUCCAUUGGCUGGGGGGGCUUGGUCACAGCUUCUCCAGAAGUUCCAUUUCCGUGGAUUUUUUGGUGGUGGUUUCUCCAUAAAUUCAUUUUCUAUGGGUUCUUGGUCACAGCUUCUCCAGAAGUUCCAUUUGCUGGGGGUGCUUGGUCAGAGGUUCUCCAGAAAUUCCAUUUUCCAUGGAUUCUUGGUCAGAGGGUCUCCAGAAGCUCCAUGGGCUGGGGUGGCUUGGUCAGGGGUUUUCCAGAAGGUCUAUGGGCUGGGGUGGCUUGGUCGGAGGUUCUCCAGAAGUUCCAUUUCCAUGGAUUCUUGGUCAUAUUUUCUCCAGAAGGUCCAUUUUCCAUGGAUUCUUGGUGGUGGUUUCUCCAUAAAUUCCAUUUUCUGUGGGUUCUUGGUCAGAGGUUCUCCAGAAGUUCCAUUUUCCAUGGAUUUUUUGGUGGUGGUUUCUCCAGAAAUUCCAUGGAUUUUUUCCCACAAAUCCCACUAACAUUUCCCCCGUUUUCCAUGGAUUUUUUCCCAUAA
rnacentral:lncRNA from 1 species